rnacentral:rRNA from 1 species
GAUGAACGCUGGCGGCGUGCCUAAUACAUGCAAGUCGAACGAAACUUCUUUAUCACCGAGUGCUUGCACUCACCGAUAAAGAGUUGAGUGGCGAACGGGUGAGUAACACGUGGGCAACCUGCCCAAAAGAGGGGGAUAACACUUGGAAACAGGUGCUAAUACCGCAUAACCAUAGUUACCGCAUGGUAACUAUGUAAAAGGUGGCUAUACUACCGCUUUUGGAUGGGCCCGCGGCGCAUUAGCUAGUUGGUAGGGUAAAGGCUUACCAAGGCAAUGAUGCGUAGCCGAAUUGAGAGGUUGAUCGGCCACAUUGGGACUGAGACACGGCCCAAACUCCUACGGGAGGCAGCAGUAGGGAAUCUUCCACAAUGGGCGAAAGCCUGAUGGAGCAACGCCGCGUGGGUGAAGAAGGUCUUCGGAUCGUAAAACCCUGUUGUUAGAGAAGAAAGUGCGUGAGAGUAACUGUUCACGUUUCGACGGUAUCUAACCAGAAAACCACUGCUAACUACGU